rnacentral:rRNA from 1 species
CCUACGGGGGGCAGCAGUGGGGAAUAUUGGGCAAUGGGCGCAAGCCUGACCCAGCAACGCCGCGUGAAGGAAGAAGGCUUUCGGGUUGUAAACUUCUUUUAAGAGGGAAGAGCAGAAGACGGUACCUCGGGAAUAAGCCACGGCUAACGCCGGGCCAGCAGCCGCGGUAAUACGUAGGGUGCAAUCGUUAUCCGGAUUUACUGGGUGGAAAGGGCGGGUAGCCGGGCUGAAAAGUCAGAUGUGAAAUUCCGGGGCGCACCCCCGGACCUGCCUUUGAAACUGUUGGUCUUGAGUAUCGGAGAGGCAGGCGGAAUUCCUAUUGUAUCGGUGAAAUGCGUAGAUAUUAGGAGGAACACCAGUGGCGAAGGCGGCCUGCUGGACGACAACUGACGGUGAGGCGCGAAAGCGUGGGGAGCAAACAGGAUUAGAUACCCGGGUAGUC